CACGGAUGCCCACCCAAGUACCUGGCCGAGCUACUCAAAUUGAUCAAGAAGGUUUGCCAUCGUCCAUAUCGACCCUAACUGGAAAUUAGAAGGAAUGGAUGAUCAAACACAUAGUGUUCAAGAAUCGAGUGAGGGUCUAUUUCAAGCGAUGAUGAUGGUAUCGAGCAACAGAAGAAAAGCAGUGUGGAACUUGAAGAGAACCAGGGUGCAACUCAAGCAGAUGUGCUACUUGAAGAUCCUGAAUUGGGGAUGACAUUUGAUACUGAGGAUGAUGUACGAGAGUACUACAAGAGGUACGUUUCUCAUCUCUCUGUUUUUAAUGAAUACUUCGAGAUCCAAGUCAUGUUAUGAUUCUUUUAUCACAGGGACUAUUUAGCAUGGGCACUAGUAGUGACAACAUAAAUCCAACCAUGAAAGCUACUGUUCCAUAUAGGUAUCAUUAUUUCCAUCUCUUUAUUUCUAAUAAGUACUUGUAACACAUGAUGAAGAGACUCCUCCGGUUAAUAGGUGCAGGCUUUCCAUUCUAUCUAUUACUUCUAAUGCCAAGAGUGCUACCUCAAAACUGAAUCCAUUGACUGCUACUUGGGUCAAACCAAUGCCUAGAUGGACGAAGCGGCUACCAGAUUUCUCCCACAUGUUGGAUCAGCUUCGAUGGCAGAAGCCCUGGCGUUGAAGGAGGGACUGGUUUUGGCUAACAG